rnacentral:rRNA from 1 species
AACUUUCAACAAUGGAUCUCUUGGCUCUGGCAUCGAUGAAGAACGCAGCGAAAUGCGAUAAGUAGUGUGAAUUGCAGAAUUCAGUGAAUCAUCGAAUCUUUGAACGCACAUUGCGCCCCUUGGUAUUCCAUGGGGCAUGCCUGUUCGAGCGUCAUU